rnacentral:rRNA from 1 species
UACGGAGGAUCCAAGCGUUAUCCGGAUUUAUUGGGUUUAAAGGGUGCGUAGGCGGCCUGUUAAGUCAGGGGUGAAAGACGGUAGCUCAACUAUCGCAGUGCCCUUGAUACUGAUGGGCUUGAAUGGACUAGAGGUAGGCGGAAUGAGACAAGUAGCGGUGAAAUGCAUAGAUAUGUCUCAGAACACCGAUGGCGAAGGCAGCUUACUAGGGUCGUAUUGACGCUGAGGCACGAAAGCGUGGGGAUCAAACAGG